AAAACGACUCUCGGCAACGGAUAUCUCGGCUCUCGCAUCGAUGAAGAACGUAGCGAAAUGCGAUACUUGGUGUGAAUUGCAGAAUCCCGUGAACCAUCGAGUCUUUGAACGCAAGUUGCGCCCAAAGCCUUCGGGCGGAGGGCACGUCUGCCUGGGUGUCACGC
rnacentral:rRNA from 1 species